CUUCUUAACAACCUCACUCCCCCCCUAACCCAACCCCCCCAAAAAAAAUUCUUUUGUUCACCACUCUCAAUUUCUUCUACUAUUUCUCAGCAUCAUAACCAAUAUGGCUGCUGCAUUAAGUGCUUCACUCUCUCUACCAUCCUCGAAUUCAACUUCUCUUUCCAUCAAAACCAUCUUCAUCUCCCCUGAAAAUAUUACUUUCAACAAGGUUCCUUUAUGCAACAGAAAUGUAUCAGCUGGUGGAAAAGUGUUUCCCAUUAGAGCUCAACUCACAACAGAAGUACCUGCAAAGGUUGCGAAGGUAUCGAAGAAACAGGAUGAAGGUGUAGUUGUAAACAAGUUCAGGCCAAAGGAUCCUUAUAUUGGCAGAUGCCUUCUCAACACUAAGAUCACUGGAGAUGAUGCCCCUGGAGAAACUUGGCACAUGGUCUUUUCCACUGAGGGAGAGAUCCCAUACAGAGAAGGCCAAUCUAUCGGAGUGAUUCCUAAUGGUGUUGACAGUAAUGGGAAGCCCCACAAACUCAGAUUGUACUCCAUUGCUAGCAGUGCCCUUGGUGACUUUGGAGACUCCAAAACCGUAUCUCUGUGUGUCAAAAGGCUUGUCUACACAAAUGACAAAGGGGAAAUAGUUAAAGGAGUCUGCUCGAACUUCUUAUGUGACUUGAAACCUGGAGCUGAAGUUAAGAUUACUGGACCUGUUGGAAAAGAAAUGCUCAUGCCAAAGGAUCCCAACGCGACAGUUAUAAUGCUAGCCACUGGAACUGGAAUUGCUCCUUUCCGUGGAUUCUUGUGGAAAAUGUUCUUUGAGAAGCAUGAGGAUUACAAGUUCAAUGGUUUAGCUUGGCUUUUCUUGGGCGUACCGACAAGCAGCUCACUUAUUUACAAGGAGGAAUUCGAGAAAAUGAAGGAGAAGGCCCCGGAAAACUUCAGACUAGACUUUGCUGUGAGUAGGGAGCAGACUAACGAGAAAGGCGAAAAGAUGUACAUCCAGACCAGAAUGGCUGAAUAUGCUGAAGAACUAUGGACAUUACUCAAGAAAGACAACACAUUUGUGUACAUGUGUGGACUCAAAGGCAUGGAGCAGGGAAUCGAUGACAUUAUGACUUCACUUGCUGAAAGAGAUGGUAUUAACUGGGCAGAUUACAAAAAGCAGUUGAAGAAGGCAGAACAAUGGAAUGUGGAAGUCUACUAAAACUUUGGGUUUCUUUGUACAAAUAUGAGCGAAGUGUUAGUUUCUCUGCUCUGCAUCCAUUGUUUUGGGAAUUAAUGUCCCUUUGGAAGUUGGAUUUUAAAGGGGUAUGGAUGAUAAACAUACUUCUGGAUGAACCUCCAUAUAUAUGAAAUGUUUGUCCAUUUGAACAUACUUAUGUAAAGUGUAUUCCCUAUAAUGCCUUGUGCUUUAGUGUAUAAACAUGUAUAUCAGGAAUCAGGUGUAAUACUAAUUGAGACAGCUUGUUUGGAUGGUUGUUACCUGUC